rnacentral:rRNA from 1 species
UACGGAGGAUGCGAGCGUUAUCCGGAUUUAUUGGGUUUAAAGGGUGCGUAGGCGGCCGAGUAAGUCAGCGGUGAAAUUUUGCAGCUUAACUGUAACAGUGCCGUUGAUACUGCCAGGCUAGGAUUUGGUUGCUGUGGGUGGAAUGUGUGGUGUAGCGGUGAAAUGCAUAGAUAUUACACAGAACACCGAUUGCGAAGGCAGCUUACUAAUCCAUCAUUGACGCUGAGGCACGAAAGCGUGGGGAUCAAACAGGA